rnacentral:rRNA from 1 species
GACGAACGCUGGCGGCGUGCUUAACACAUGCAAGUCGAGCGGAAAGGCCCUGCGUUUGUGGGGUGCUCGAGUGGCGAACGGGUGAGUAACACGUGAGUAACCUGUCCUUGACUUUGGGAUAACUUCAGGAAACUGGGGCUAAUACCGGAUAGGAGCUCCUGCUGCAUGGUGGGGGUUGGAAAGUUUCGGCGGUUGGGGAUGGACUCGCGGGUUAUCAGCUUGUUGGUGUGGUAGUGGCUUACCAAGGCUUUGACGGGUAGCCGGCCUGAGAGGGUGACCGGCCACAUUGGGACUGAGAGACGGCGCAGAUUCGUACGGGAGGCAGCAGUGGGGAAUAUUGCACAAUGGGCGGAAGCCUGAUGCAGCAACGCCGCGUGCGGGAUGACGGCCUUCGGGUUGUAAACCGCUUUCGCCUGUGACGAAGCGUGAGUGACGGUAAUGGGUAAAGAAGCACCGGCUAACUACGUG